AGGUGCUUGAAUAUAGUUUUGCAAUAGCUUAAAUUCAAUUUAAGGAGUUUUGAAAAAAACGUUAUUCAAUUUUUUUAUUUAUCUAUUUUUUUUUCAUAAUUUAAAAAAAUUUUACCGUUUUAAGCUUUUAUAAAAUUAAUUAAAUUAGAAAAAAUGCUAUCUGGCAGCGAGAAUGGAAGGUAGAUUUUUCGAAAAUUUUCAGCAACUCCCUGACUUUUCGCUAGCUCGCGCUCAGUUUAAAACGAAGGCGGCUGUUUCAUUUUUACUAAGGUUGAAGAUCAGUUUUUCAAUCCGAGAUUCUUAACCUGCGAUUCAAAUAGUGUUAAUAAACCUAUAUAUUUAUAAAUAAAUGUACGAGCAAUACAAAGUUAAUCACGUAUUACUAAAAUCUCGGAUUGAUAAACUGACUUUGAGUAUAUAUACAAGUGGACCAACGUUAACUUUUUUCUAUCGAAAAAGUUAACAAAAAAAAUGUUAACAUUUAUUUUGUGACGUAAAAAGUGUGUCAUGCAGCUCAAAAUUUUUGUUUUUCCACUGACUACAAGAUUUUCAGGUGGGACUUAAUAAAAAAAAAUGUUGCUCUAAAAUGAAGCACCCUAAUAGAUAUACACUUAGCAUGGGCUAAAUCAUUUUUCUUAAUAAGGGUAAGUUAAAUGGUGUCGUUCCAAUCGCAAAAAAAAAUGUGGUAUCAUGCAGUUGAUAGUGUUAAUGAAGCUAGGAUAAAUAACAUAACCUUUCAUUUAUUUUUGUAAACAAAAAAAAAUUUUUAUUUUAAUCAAGAAUCAAAAUAUAUUUCGAUGAUUAAUUGUAUAUAUUCUGAGAAUUGAAUUUUUAAUAAAAACAAUUAAUUUAAAA